GAGAAUGCCGGUGUGAGUAGCGAAAGACGGGUGAGAAUCCCGUCCACCGAUUGACUAAGGUUUCCAGAGGAAGGCUCGUCCGCUCUGGGUUAGUCGGGUCCUAAGCUGAGGCCGACAGGCGUAGGCGAUGGAUAACAGGUUGAUAUUCCUGUACCACCUAUAAUCGUUUUAAUCGAUGGGGGGACGCAGUAGGAUAGGCGAAGCGUGCGAUUGGAUUGCACGUCUAAGCAGUAAGGCUGAGUAUUAGGCAAAUCCGGUACUCGUUAAGGCUGAGCUGUGAUGGGGAGAAGACAUUGUGUCUUCGAGUCGUUGAUUUCACACUGCCGAGAAAAGCCUCUAGAUAGAAAAUAGGUGCCCGUACCGCAAACCGACACAGGUAGUCAAGAU
rnacentral:rRNA from 1 species